rnacentral:rRNA from 1 species
ACGGGGGGAGCAAGCGUUGUUCGGAUUUACUGGGCGUAAAGGGCGGGUAGGCGGCCACUGCAAGUCGGUUGUGAAAUCUCCGGGCUUAACCCGGAAAGGUCAAUCGAUACUGCAGGGCUAGAGUGCAGAAGGGGCAACUGGAAUUCUCGGUGUAGCGGUGAAAUGCGUAGAUAUCGAGAGGAACACCAGUGGCGAAGGCGACUCGCUGGACUUGUGGUGACGCUGAGACGCGAAAGCGUGGGUAGCAAACAGGA